AUUGAACGCUGGCGGCAUGCUUUACACAUGCAAGUCGAACGGCAGCGCGGGCUUCUGCCUGGCGGCGAGUGGCGAACGGGUGAGUAAUGCAUCGGAACGUGCCCAGUAGUGGGGGCUAGCCCGGCGAAAGCCGGAUUAAUACCGCACACGAUCUGAGGUUGAAAGCGGGGGAUCGAAAGUCCUCGCCCUUUUUGAGCGGCCGAUGUCGGAUUAGCUAGUUGGUUGGGCAAAGGCUUACCAAGGCGACUAUCCGUAGCUGGUCUGAGAGGCCGACCAGCCACACUGGAACUGAGACACGGGCCAGACUCCUACGGGAGGCAGCAGUAGGGAAUUUUCGGCAAUGGGCGCAAGCCUGAUCCAGCCAAGCCGCGUGAGGGAAGAAGGCCUUCGGGUUGUAAACCGCUUUUGUUCGGGAAGAAAAACUGUGGGCUAAUACCCCGGGGGGAUGACGGUACCGGAAGAAUAAGCACCGGCUAACUACGUG
rnacentral:rRNA from 1 species